AGGGGGUGUCGCAGCGGAGCAGAGUGGCGGUGGGGGUGCCUGCAGUGGAGCCUGGGCCUGGGGUAGCGCUGGACCAGGGCGGGUUCCUGCUGGAGACAAGGGACUUUCGGAAGAUUUAGGAGGUCAGGGGCUCGGGGUUGGAAGGGGUUAGGUUUCGCGGGGGUGGUCAGCUGGGAGAGGCCCAGGAGAUGCAGGUCUGGGUGAGGGAGGGCCGCGGGUCUGCUGGGGGGGCCCCCAGGUCACUGGGGAGCAGUCCCUGAGCUGCCUCCCUGGCUGGGCCCCAAGUCACACUUUGCACGCAGCCUUUGGGUGAGAUCCCAGCCCAGGGCCUCCAGGCCAGGGCCCCCUCAGACCCGCACGCUUGUGUGCCGGCUGCGGGGGGACGCACAGCUCGCCUGUCCUGGGGUGCACGUGGGGAAGCCGAGGUGUCCCAGUCUGGGGCCCCAACCCCAUCUCGGGGGUCCACUCCCUCACCUGCCCGGUGGGCUCCCCAGUUACCAAGCAACCUCCUGGUAGGACCACCUGGGGGAUCCCAGUUUCCUGCUUUGACUCCACACUGGGCCCAGUUCCCAGCCGCCCGAUGUCCACCUGCUGUCCAGCCUGGCCUCUCCCACAGCUGGAGGAAGGGCCAGGGGCUGGGCCGGGCAAUCAGACGGGACGGUGCAGCCAGGGUGGGGCACUGGAAGGAAGCCCCUCACUCACAGAGCAGCCCCCGGCCUGGGAGUGGGGAGAGGGGCUGCCACCCUGAGGCCACAGGCCAGCCUGCCCCUGGGCGUCAGCCUCUGGGCUGGGCUGGCCAACAUCAGAGAACUGCGUCCCCCUGGCGGGCACUGCCCCCUGGAGCUCAGUCCUGGUACUGCAGCGUGAACCUGCUGCUCAGAUCCGGGUGGGGGCAGCUAUCCCAGGCAGGACCUGCUUCUUGGGGCCGGGGAUAUGCGGGGAGGGGUUCAGCAUGGCUCUGUCUGCACGGAGGACCUCAGGGAGAGCAGGCAGGGCACCCACAGUUCCCAGGCACCCGGCGGGGCCCCUCUCCCACCCGGGGCGGGGCGGGGUGGCGGGGCCGUGCGUGGCUCCAUUUCACAGGUAAGGACACUGAGGCCAGAGCUGUGGAAGCAGUGGGCGCUGACCGUCCCGGCCCCUGGCCUCCAAGGCCGCUUCUCCCGCUGGGUGGGGUAGGCUUGGCAUUUCCUGCGGCUGCUCCCCGGCGGCCACGCGGUGCCAGGCCGGGAAGUCUCGCCCGAGGCCCACGCCCACUCGCACCUGGUAUUUUUGUCGCCGUGUGAGGCUGAUGCCAGGCGAACGCGGCCCGGGCCCCGGGCUCUGCCUCCUUCCCCCACACCAGCCGGGGUCAAUGGAUCCCUUAUCUGCAAGAUCUUAUCGCUCGGCCUUGGCCGACUCGGAGCUGGCUCCCCAAGGUACAGGGAGGCCCAGGUGGGCAAUCACGCUCGGGGGAUUGGCCUGGGGGGGGCGGGGCCUCCAGCCUCGGGAGCCCGCCUCCGACCGCGUCAUCCCUGCUUGCUCUGUUUGUCGCUGUCUGGGGGAUCCGGGCGAAUGCUUUCAGUCCCCCCCCCCCCCCCCGCACGCACACCCAGAGUGAGACCGGAAGUCAGAGGGGGAGGAGCCAGGCAGGGAGGGAGGGAGCUCUCGGGGCCCACGGAAGACACCGGAAGACACGGCGGCCCCUGGUUGCACGACGCUGCGGGGAGCCAAGGCAAAGGGGAGGAGGAGGAAGGUGGGGGUGGGAACGGGAUGCCGGCCCCCCCACCCCCGGG
rnacentral:lncRNA from 1 species